CAGAUCAGCAUGCUGCGGUGAAUACGUUCCCGGGCCUUGUACACACCGCCCGUCACACCAUGAGAGUCGAUAACACCCGAAGCCUGUAGUCUAACCAUAAGGGGGACGCAGUCGAAGGUGGGAUUGAUAAUUAGGGUGAAGUCGUAACAAGGUAAC
rnacentral:rRNA from 1 species